UGAAGGAUGCAUCACUUGAAAGUCAUAGGGCUUCUGUCAAUCCGUUCCACUUGUUGGCGCAAAUGACUGCUUCUGCUCACCAGUCCGUCCAAUACACACGACACCCACACCCGACCCUUACAUGCACUCUCAGUGGGAACACCUGUCAUAAUCCAAGACCAUCAAACCAAAAGGUUUGUAUCAGACAGUUCACCCCAGAAACGUACCAAACACGUCCAAACCCCAACAAAUCACAUCCAGCCCAAACCCAACCACCCCCUUUUGUCUAGAGGGCUAGUCAGAGAAACGACACUCGCAAGAUUUCUGAGAUUUAGCAACCAGGACAUCCUGAAGUAGGAGACCAAAGAAACUACAAUGUUCCAACGUUACACCAACCCCCAAACAACCCAAAUGGCCAAUAGGUCAUGGCCCAUGCUAUAGGUCCUCAACUAUCAUGCCCCUUGUUAACACACGUCUCUAAUUCCAUGCGGAUAUCAAUUAUUAUUCUUAUGUUAGAUUUGUGCCCAAUCCCCCAGGGAGAAGGGGUAUGUUAGAUAUUAUGUGGGACGAUAGUGGCAACACUAAGACUCCCCGGGAGAGUAGAAUACACACAAGAGAUACAAACACAACUCGUUAAACAUUGACCAUUCCUGCCACAUCAUAGUUUUGUUGCGUCAGUAUACAAAGAGAUAAUGACUUUAAUAAUGAUCUUGUAAAGUGGAGCAAUGAAGACGAUAAAGAUGAGAGGACCUAAUAUGGAGCCAUGGAGCCCUAUGGAACACCCGACUUGACAUCAUAGAUGUCAUUCAUUAAGAGAUCCCUCAACCCUCAAUCCCCUUUGGCUGACUUUAAUGUGGGGAGUGACGUAGUUCCAAUUUGCGGGUUUUAUGGGGGACUUGAAAGUAGGGGAUAUCGCCUCAGCGGAAUUCCCUCUUGGUGGAGUUAUCCAUGACAGAGUUCAUUUUGACGGGGUUUCCCAUGGUGGAGAUUGCCGUAGGCGGAGUUCACUGCAGUGGAGUUCACUGUGGUGGAGUUCACCGUUGGGGAAUUUGCUAUGGCGGAAAUCACUUGAUGGAAAUCCACUGGCAGAGAUUGUUAUUGGGGAAGUGUAUGGGAACCUAAAAACAUGGUAAUGAUCCAAACCCGAAUACAUGGCAGCACAUGCUGGAUGGCUGCCCCAAGAUGGGGGCACUCAUGACCAGACAUCAAGACUACAAAAAAACCGCCUAACUCCCACAGACUGAGCCAACCAGACCUCGACCAGAGACAACAAAGCACCGAAGUAUUAUCAUCACGACUCAGGCCCCUGCUCUCAGUCCAGGGGAUCAAACCAACUCAUUUGAGAGUUCCACAGACUACCCAACUCCCCCUGAACUUGGGAUCCCGCCAGAGAGUCCAAAAGAGGACGAGAAUGCCGAUUUUUUUCUCAGCCCCCUUAGAUGCCUUGACCAAACAGGUCAUAAAAUAAUGGCUGAACACAGAGACAUCAAACUACCAACGCAAUAUUCCAUUCCCACCACACCGCCAGCGCACUAAAUCUCGAGGACCACCUGAACAAGCCCCAGUUGGCAUGUAAGUCUGGGAAUCAUGUUGUGUUUGGGCUCCUCAAGAAGACCAAUGCUGGUCACCCCGACCAAUCAAUCACCAAGGUUUUGGAAGAGCGCAUUCUGCAGGAAAACCUCAACGGAAGAGCACUGUUAGGACAUCAUUACCGAAAGACAACUCAGCCUUGAAAUCUCCAAAGCAAUCAUCGGAACGGCGAGAUAUUGAUAUCUUCAACGGGCCACAUGGUUGAAACUGGCGACCCGCAGAGCUGGAAACCGCUCUUACAAAUGUUCGAGUAUCCCUAAUGCUACAAAAGCCGCCCAAAUUAAAGACC